CUUAUACGGUGUUCUACGUUCAA
rnacentral:siRNA from 1 species